ensembl:lncRNA novel transcript
AGUAAUGGAUUAAACGGGGACAGCGGUCCCCCAGCCUUGUGCUUCUUUGCAGGAUGGUGGCUGCUUGGUUAGCCUGAGUUCCAGAGUGAGGACAUCAUGAAGUAAAGAUCUCAGCUGACCCACAAUGGACAUAUAUUUCCUUAGAGUCUCAGGGAAGGCUUCUGGAAGAGGUGUAUUUUCAAGUGAAGAUACCGAGAGCCCAGUAUCACAGAGGAAGAAAGUACUGGUGGUGACACAGCAGGUAUUUUAGAAGUGGGGGCAGCUAUUUUAGACAGCUCUUUCCUAUGUUGUUCCUGUCACACCAUGAAGAUGCCGAUUUCGUCCACCCACAAGAAAGCUGCCUUGGUCCUGGUACUCAAGGGCUCUAUGUUGCCUCCAUCAUAUCCAGAAUUAACUCCAAUAACAUGUUCUUGCAUUCUUCGUCAGCACAGCAAGGGAGCUAACUGAAAGGCAUGUCGGGAACACUGGAAUCAUUCAAUGUCUUAAACUACUCAGCCUUGAAAUACAUAUAAAAAUGAGUUAGAAUUCAAAAACUUUAAAAAUAUUUCUUUUUCUGGGCUU